rnacentral:rRNA from 1 species
GAGUAACACGUGGGCAACCUGCCCGCAAGACCGGGAUAACUCCGGGAAACCGGAGCUAAUACCGGAUAACACCGAAGACCGCAUGGUCUUUGGUUGAAAGGCGGCCUUUGGCUGUCACUUGCGGAUGGGCCCGCGGCGCAUUAGCUAGUUGGUGAGGUAACGGCUCACCAAGGCGACGAUGCGUAGCCGGCCUGAGAGGGUGACCGGCCACACUGGGACUGAGACACGGCCCAGACUCCUACGGGAGGCAGCAGUAGGGAAUCUUCCGCAAUGGGCGAAAGCCUGACGGAGCGACGCCGCGUGAGCGAAGAAGGCCUUCGGGUCGUAAAGCUCUGUUGUGAGGGACGAAGGAGCGCCGUUCGAAGAGGGCGGCGCGGUGACGGUACCUCACGAGGAAGCCCCGGCUAACUACGUGCCAGCAGCCGCGGUAAUACGUA